rnacentral:rRNA from 1 species
CAGUAGCCGCGGUAAUACGUAGGUGGCGAGCGUUAUCCGGAAUUAUUGGGCGUAAAGCGCGUCUAGGUGGUUAUGUAAGUCUGAUGUGAAAAUGCAGGGCUCAACUCUGUAUUGCGUUGGAAACUGUGUAACUAGAGUACUGGAGAGGUAAGCGGAACUACAAGUGUAGAGGUGAAAUUCGUAGAUAUUUGUAGGAAUGCCGAUGGGGAAGCCAGCUUACUGGACAGAUACUGACGCUGAAGCGCGAAAGCGUGGGUAGCAAACAGGAUUAGAUACCCAGGUAGUCCCUGUCUCUUAUACA